rnacentral:piRNA from 1 species
UGCCUCACAUCUGGUGUGUGGACCAGGGU